rnacentral:rRNA from 1 species
AAUUGUUCGCAAUGGGCGCAAGCCUGACGACGCAACGCCGCGUGGAGGAUGAAGAUCUUCGGGUCGUAAACUCCUGUCGAGCGGGACGAAUGCUUUGCGGCUGAAUAAUCCGCAGAGGUGACGGUACCGCUAAAGGAAGCCCCGGCUAACUCCGUGCCAGCAGCCGCGGUAAUACGGGGGGGGCAAGCGUUGUUCGGAAUUACUGGGCGUAAAGGGCUCGUAGGCGGCCAACUAAGUCACACGUGAAAUCCCUCGGCUCAACCGGGGAACUGCGUGUGAUACUGGCGGGCUUGAAUUCGGGAGAGGGAUGUGGAAUUCCAGGUGUAGCGGUGAAAUGCGUAGAUAUCUGGAGGAACACCGGUGGCGAAGGCGGCAUCCUGGACCGAGAUUGACGCUGAGGCGCGAAAGCUAGGGUAGCAAACG